GUUUUCAACAAGGCAGCAGAAGCCCCAUGCACUACUGAGCCACUUUUUAAAGCUUAAAAAAUAAUAAUUCAAUUUAAGACAUACUUUUAAAAGAUAGCAAAGAGUAGAUAGAGAGGCAGCCCUUAGAUUACUUUUUAUUUUAUUUUUUAAAGUGUGUAUAUGAAUGGAAGUUGUUUUGUACGAAUUUGUUAAUGGUCUAAUGUUUGUGUUUAAAUGUGUUGUAAACCAUUUGGAGACAUUUGGCUAACAAACAACUAGCAAAUCUAAUAAAUGAUCCUAAUAAUAGUAUGAAUAGUCCGUGUGGGUUUUUUAUGGAUUUGUGGGGAUUUUUCCUCUCACAAAAAGUGAGAGAAAUGCUCCAGGGCGAGCUCUAGUCUAAUCCCAAUCAAUUCCAAGUCAGCCAGAAUUGGUCGUGGGCCCAUGCCUACACUUGGAUCAAUCAGGAGGAUGCAGAGCCAAUUUGGCAUUUGGAUCAUAUGAUCUUUGUUUAGCUGCAGCAGUGCACAUGGAAGUUUUAUCUGGCCACAUCAGGAUCAGAAUAUGAAAUUGGGUAUUCCUGACCUAGCAGUAAGUUUCUUGAGAAACUUUUAGCCUCCAUGACAAAUUUUGGAAGAAGCCAUUGAUAGUCUGGUGACAAAUCUGAUAAUGUCUUAUUCUGAUUGCAGAACUACCAUUUUUAUUUGCUAAAAUAUUCAUAAAUCAGGGGAAUUUUGUUUUGGAGGGGUUUUUUUUUGCAACAUGAAUAGUGGGUAAUGGUGUAAUACUUAAUGAGCAGAGUAAUUAAUGCACCUGGCUGGUGGAUGACAAAUGCAGAUAAAUGUGGACUAAUGAGUUUUGGAACAAAAAAUAAAGAGACAGUUCUACAGUUAAAUGGAAAAUGAACAGCGAUGUAUUGACCUAAAAAGAGAUCAGGGAGCAAUUAUAGACAAAUCCUUAAAUCCUCUAGCCCAUUAGGUGGCUAAACUGGAAAAAAAUAAUAAUAAAUGAGAGACUGCAGUGAAUACUAAAGACAUCCAGUAUAACUCAAGGGAGAUGGUAUUAUAUAUUUUGCUUAAUGAGACCUUAUCCACAUUGCUGGAUACAGCACUGGCAAUAAAUAGAGAUAAGCCCCAACCAACUGCAGUGACUCAUUUAAGACAAAAAAAAAUGUACAGCUUAAGCACCAUUGGGGGGAUUUAAACAAGUGGCUUGACUUUCAGAAAUUGUUACUAUCUCUCAUUGAACCAAUUGAAUGAACUUUCAAGUAACUGAUCUCAUAAGAACAUCAGGAGAACCCUGCCACAUCCAACAGCAGCCACCCAGAACCACAGAUUCAUCAUGUACUAAACCACAGCUUUCCUUAAGUCUUCCAUGAAGGAAGCUGUUGUAGGCAGUAAGCCUCUAAAUAUCAGUUGCUGGGGAGGAGCCCUGUUGCUUGAGGGCUUCCCAUAGGCAUCUGGUUGGCCACUGUGAGAACAGAACACCAGACUAAUGACCCUUUAAUCUGAUCCAACAGGGCUCUUCUUGUGUUCUUAAGACGCCCAUGCCAAAACCAUUUGAAUCAUCCUUCUGUCUCUCCUUAUCAUUUAGGUUUGCAGAAUUCAAGUGGAUUUAAGCCCUCUGUCUUUUUUUUUUAAAAAAAGGGGGGUUGCAGUUAGUAAAGUGAUGGGGAAUUGUGAAUUGGCAAGGCAGCAUAUUGGCAAUGACUCAGCUUUCCAAAAGGGUAUGGAAGAAUAUGAUGCUAAUGACCAAUACCUAGAUGAAGGUCUACCAGGAUAAGCAUGCUGUUUUUGUCGGGAGUUCAGCUUACACUUGAGUAGGACUCUGGCAGAGACACAUGCCCGACUGGCAUGUUUGCUCCCUCCUGGUCAAUCAUUCAGGAGCUUCAUAAGCUUUCUUCUGCCUGAACAUCACAGUGACCGAUGCCAACCGACACCGGCACACUUAGGAAUCCGCAGAGUUUGUGCCACAUACGCAUGACAGACCUCAGCAAUUCAGCAUGUUGGCUAAUCUACUAAACACACACGGAGCACUGCAACAUGGCUCCCUCUCUCUCUAGCAUCAGACAGCAAAGAGAAAAAGAACAAAGGACAAUUGUCCCACUUCACGGAACACAGUAACACAAACAUCCUGUCUCUGUUACUUCCCACUCUGUGGAGUCAAAACAUAUACCGUCAUGUGAAAGACAACAAUCCUAUGACUGCAAUCACAGAUCAGGAAUUCUAACAGUUUUAUGGAAGUGAGUCAUGGGCAACUUAAACCCACCAGGAGCAAUGCCUGAGUGCCUUUUAUAUGGGCUGUGUCAGGAAGAUUUUGGGCAUCACAUGGCAGGACAAAGUCUCAAACAAAGAUGUGUUCUCCCAAGCCCACAUGUUUCACUUUUGUUUCAGUGACAUCUAUGCUGGUUUGGUCAUGGACACAGAAUGGGCUCCAUGGGGAACUGGCUUCAGGCGCUAGGCAUGUUGGCAGAUGCACUCUGCAUUAAAAAGCUGUCUUCAUAUGUGACAUGAAGACUGGCAUGAAAACCCACUGUGUGAGAAUGCAUUGCGGAUGACUGCAGUGCCUGGAGACAGGCAGGUCAUGUGUUCACAGCAGUGACCAGAGGAUGAAUGACCAGAGAAAGAGAAGAAAUGCCACGGUGCACCUGUAGAAGCAAAACAGGACGUCUUCAUCUUGCAAUAAAACAUGUAUUGUCCAUAUCGGUCUCUGUAGCUGCAACAGGCGCUGUAAUUCUCCAACAGUUUGACUUUGCUCUCAAAGGCACACUCUUCCAUUGUCUCCUGAGACAGAUGGAUGCCAAUAACAACAACAAUAACAAAUGAUAUGAACACAAAAUUUCAUCUUACAUUAAUUGAGUCACUCUUAAAAUACGAUAGUGCAAUAUGCAGGGAAGUUGAUAAUACAUUUGCUGGUUUUGUAGUUGCUUUUUGCUUUGGAAGGAUUAAUAAUAAAAUGAAACAAACCUUAUUCAUGUAACAAAAUGCCGCGUUGAUUUGGGACUUGCCUCUGAUUUCUGCGUAUUUGUUUAGAAUGCACAUUCAGAUACUGCACAUUGAUAUUCUUUCACAGUUAGAAACCUUGCGCUGCCCCAUAUGCUUAUUUGUCUGCAUCUUAUUUGUCUGGAACUUUUCAUCAAGCAAAUAAUAAACAAUGCACAACAUUUAUUUUAGAUGGAAAAUUGCUGAGGGCCAUUUUAAAGAGGCUCCCUACCCACAAAUCUGUUGACUAAUUUUGUGUGUGUGUUCUAAUGAGGGGUGGGGGAACCAUUAAUCUGGUGAGCUUGUAGGUUUAGAUUUUGAAGUGGAGCUCCAUAUCAUGAUUCUCAGACACACAGUGAACAUCAUUAUGACUUUGUAUUAUACAUUGCAUCCAACUAAUAUCUACUCAGAGUAGGCCCACAGAACUUAAUGCACCCAAAAUGUUGUUGUUGUUUAGUCGUCUUAGUUGUGUUUGACUCUCCGUGACCCCAUGAACCAGAGAAUGCCUUGGAAACUCUCACUUUCUUCUCAAAGCUUCUCCUUUUUUAUGUCCAUGGAGUUUUCUUGGGAAAAUACUGGAGUGGUUUGCCAGUUCCUUUUCCAGGUGGAUCACAUUUAGUCUAAACUCUCAGCUAUGACCUGUCUGUCUUGGAUGGCCCUGCAGGGCAUAGCUCAUAGCUUCUUGGAGUUCUUCAAGCCCCUUCGCCACGACAAGGCAGUGAUCCAUGAAGGGGCACCCAAAAUAACUAAUUCUCAUCUGACACUCACAGAGCAGUAAUUUUAACAAAUUAGUAUCAAAAUCCAUGAGAAUUUUUAUACUGAAAACGAAUGGGAAUCCAAAAUGAAAACAAUUGUCUAGCACACUAUAAAUGACCCACAACUGCCAAGGAAGAGUUUCAUCACCUAAGUCUAUAUGUUCAAAUGUGCAUUUAACAGUGCAAUUUAUGUCUACUUGGAAAAGCUCCAUUACUUCAAAGUAAGCAUGUACAGGAUUGCAGCCUAAAUUUCCCUAAAUCAAUUUUUGUUUUUGUUUUUCUGACAGCAGUUUAAUUUAUUGUUCAGCUCCCUCCAAUUUCGGGUUUUGUCCAACGAAUCUGAGCUUAUCAUUUAAUAAUCUACACUACAGUUUUAGAAGAGGGGGGAGGGGGAAAGGAACCAUGAUAUUUGAACUAAAUUCACUGUACCUUUCACCUUAUGAAAUGAAUUUCUCGGUCCUCAAAUACCCAGGUGCAUUAGUGCAUUAGUAGUUGGACACCUUCCUGGGGAAAAAACCUUCUGCUAAUGUCAUUACGGCUCCUGCAAACUUGCACCCUCCAUUCUACUAUUAUGUAUUUAUAGGGCAGCCCAGAAAAACUGUUUCUAUACUGCUAAUAGAUUGUCAAUUCUGAACAUAAACAAUUCUAAUUAAUGGGUGGGAAGAGGUGGGAUUCUGAGCCUAGGUUUGCUCUUGUGGGGGGGGGGAGAAAUUUCUGGAUCCAGUGUCCCUUCAACCCCAGCCAGCACUGUCAAUGGUCAAGGUUAAUGGGAUUUAUAGUCCAGCAACAUAUGGACAGGCACAGGUUCCCCACCCCUGAUAUGAGGGAUCAGCCUACAGCAGAUCUUGAAGUCCAGAUGGGCAAAGCCCAGCACAAAUACUGCCCUUUUCAUCUAAGCAGGUCAGAUAAAAUAAAAACCAGCUGGUACAACUGAACUUGCCCCUUGCAUAUCUGGCAACUACAGUGGUACCUCUGGUUAAGUACUUAAUUCGUUCCAGAGGUCCGUUCUUAACCUGAAACUGUUCUUAACCUGAAGCACCACUUUAGCUAAUGGGGCCUCCUGCUGCCGCUGCGCGAUUUCUGUUCUCAUCCUGAAGCAAAGUUCUUAACCCGAGGUACUAUUUCUGGGUUAGUGGAGUCUGUAACCUGAAGCAUAUGUAACCUGAAGCAUAUGUAACCCGAGGUAUCACUGUAGUUGAAAAGCAAGCCAGC